rnacentral:lncRNA from 1 species
UAAAGGCGUGUGCCACCACUGCCCAGCUUAGGUUUGUUUUUUUUUUAAUUUUUUUUUAAUUUAUCCAUUUGAAGCCAGUUCUUCAUUAAAUGGAGAGGGAUGUAGAAUGUCGUAAAACCCCAUAUGUGUGUAUGUGUGUAUGUGUGGGGGCAGGUGAUAGAGAGCAGGCGUGUGACUUGAGCACCUCAUACACCAAUGGCUCUGCCCCGGUGGCUCGUGCUGUGCUCACCCCUGAGGCGGCAGAAGCUGAGUGCUGUGAGGCUUUCGAGGUUCCUCGCCUGCACAGUUCCUGCUUCCCGCACAUCUGUGGCACUGUGCUGAAGCUAAGGAGGGAGACACUGCACAGCCUUAGACUUUUCUAGAGUCGACAUGGAUGGUUCAGAUCUCUGUUACAUGGCCUCAGUGCCUUGGCUUCCCCUGUAGCCAAGGACAGGCUAGGCAGAGGACAGCGGCCACAGGCUGAAGUAGAAGGGCUGCAGGCACACCUCGGAUGGAAAGGGAACUUCUUCAUACAUACAGCUUUUGUAUGUGGGUAGGGGAGCCUUUCAUCAAAGCCAAGUUUUUAGUUUGACAACAAAGCAGUUUGCUUUAGAGCCUGCCUAAAUGAUGUUCAAGUGUAUGCAUAACUGUUUAUUUACAUGUAAUUUAUUGAACACUUGUCAUAUUUAAGCAAAUCUGCAAAACUCUGCUGCACCUCAUGCCAACCUUAUACAAUCUUAUACACGAGCUAUCAUUUAUCCCUGAUAUAAAUUGAAGGCACUAAAGCUUAUAGAAGCUGAAAUAAAUUACUCUAAAAUAUAGCUAAUGCAUCCCAGAUCCCCUGUCUAACUCUUUGGAAUCUUGUGUACUUCCUUUGAUUUUCUAACAACAUAGGAUACUCAUAUCUUGAUCAACAAAUGACUGUGAUCUGACACUAGUAGUAAAUACUCUACCCGUUC